rnacentral:rRNA from 1 species
AUUGAACGCUGGCGGCAUGCCUAACACAUGCAAGUCGAACGGUAACAGGGGCUUCGGCCCGCUGACGAGUGGCGGACGGGUGAGUAACGCGUAGGAAUCUUCCCAGUAGCGGGGGAUAGCUCGGCGAAAGCCGGAUUAAUACCGCAUACGCCCUACGGGGAAAGGACGAGGGAGUCGCAAGACCUUGCACUAUUGGUGAGCCUACGUCUGAUUAGCUAGUUGGUAGGGUAAAGACCUACCAAGGCGACGAUCAGUAGCUGGUCUGAGAGGACGAUCAGCCACACUGGGACUGAGACACGGCCCAGACUCCUACGGGAGGCAGCAGUGGGGAAUAUUGGACAAUGGGCGCAAGCCUGAUCCAGCAAUGCCGCGUGUGUGAAGAAGGCCUGCGGG